rnacentral:ncRNA from 1 species
UAUAAAACCUAAUAGUAUUUUGAACCAGAUGAAAAACUAGGGGAGACACCCUAGGCUGGAAUACUUCUCAAGGGACAGAGUUCCGUUAGCAGAGAUGCGACAGGUGAAGUCCUUACGAACUGUGGCAACACAGCGUAGUCGGAGGCGAGCAUCGCCAAGGGAGAAGUAGGUGCAGACUUAUCAGUAUCAAAAACAACACCGAACUACUCGGGACAAAUCGGGAGACCACACUGUUGGGCGUACCUAGGUAUUCUACGGGGUGACACCUGUGAGGACAAUGCCUAAAUGUCAAGAAAGUCCUUGAGAGCGUAAUUGAGGCUCGGCAACGAGCGUAUAAGAGUAGAAGGUGGUCCAAGUAGCCCAAACUUACGCUAUGAUUAACAAAUUAACUUUUGUUCUAGUGCGAUAGAAAAAAGAGCAAUUACUGCAUACGAGAGUAUGAAAAUGUCUAUUGCGGGUGAAAGGUGCGACGAAGGAUGUCGUAUGGGUUCUGGAACUUCGGUUCUGGCUAAACGUGGAGGUGCCGGCGGGUACCAAGGGCGGUUAGUCCCCAUUGUGUGAAUAUUGGUUGGGGUAAGAUCUGUAUAAGGAGGACUUGCAAAAUACUUUUCUUAUUAU